ACCGUGUGCUUACAAGUAGUCAGAGCCCGUUAAUGGGUGAUGGCGUGCCUUUUGUAGAAUGAACCGGCGAGUUACGAUUUGAUGCAAGGUUAAGCAGUAAAUGUGGAGCCGUAGCGAAAGCGAGUCUGAAUAGGGCGUUUAGUAUUUGGUCGUAGACCCGAAACCAGGUGAUCUACCCUUGGUCAGGUUGAAGUUCAGGUAACACUGAAUGGAGGACCGAACCGACUUACGUUGAAAAGUGAGCGGAUGAACUGAGGGUAGCGGAGAAAUUCCAAUCGAACCUGGAGAUAGCUGGUU
rnacentral:rRNA from 1 species